AUGCCGGUGCAGUGCCGGCAGGUGACGCGCGCUCUCGUUUGAACACCCCUUUGCGCCCUCUUUCAUUUUCCGUUUCGCCUAUCUCUGUUUCUCUCUCUAUCGCUGACUCGCUCGUCUCCGCGCGUGUAUGUGGCAGAGAAGAUGAAAAAAGAAAAAAAAACAUUACACAUACACACGUACACGUACACACACACACACACACAGGCGUGUCACGGCUGAUAUCGUCGAGGCUGCGAGGAGGAGGCAAGGCAAGGGAACGUCGAUUUUGCGCGUUGGCACAGGCACGGCUGGCCAGUUGCUCCAAAUUUGUUUCUGAAGUCUUCGCCUUUCUCCCCCUCGUUUCAUCCAACGCCUCACACGCUUUGUUUUGUGCCGUCACGCCUUGUGUUCUGGUCCUCCUCUUCCUCUGCUCCGAUGUGCCCUGCGUUAGCGGACUUUUCAUUCCUCCCAUGCCUUCCCCACUGAGGUUCGCUAUUAGGUAUCGACGCUCUAUCAGCCUUGACCCGCCACCUCACAGGUGCUACGGUGCACCUCUAGCUCAACCGCUUUUCUGCCUCAUGCGCCUUUUUUCACUUCUUUCUUUGUUUCCCAUAUCCUACGUAUGGCCGUUGCUGACACCGCCGUCGCCUGGGAUUUCUGUGACCCUCUCCAG
rnacentral:misc_RNA from 1 species